GGAGUCUGGGCCGUGUCUCAGUCCCAAUGUGGCCGUUCACCCUCUCAGGCCGGCUAUGGAUCGUCGCUUUGGUGGGCCGUUACCCCGCCAACUGGCUAAUCAGACGCGAGCCCCUCCUUGGGCGGAUUUCUCCUUUUGCUCCUCAGCCUACGGGGUAUUAGCAACCGUUUCCAGUUGUUGUUCCCCUCCCAAGGGCAGGUUCUUACGCGUUACUCACCCGUUCGCCACUGGAAACACCACUUCCCGUUCGACUUGCAUGUGUUAAGCAUGCCGCCAGUGUUCAUC
rnacentral:rRNA from 1 species